rnacentral:rRNA from 1 species
AGAGUUUGAUCAUGGCUCAGGACGAACGCUGGCGGCGUGCCUAAUGCAUGCAAGUCGCACGCAGAGUGCUUGCACUCUGAGUGGCGCACGGCUGAGGAACACGUGGGCAUCUGCCCGACUGUGGGGGAUAACGCGGCGAAAGCCGAGCUAAUCCCGCAUACGCUCGCAAGAGGAAAGCAGUAAUGCGCGGUCGGAGGAGCCUGCGGCCCAUCAGGUAGUUGGCGGGGUAACGGCCCACCAAGCCAGUGACGGGUAGCUGGUCUGUGAGGACAACCAGCCAGACUGGGACUGAGACACGGCCCAGACUCCUACGGGAGGCAGCAGCAAGGAAUUUUCGGCAAUGGGGGCAACCCUGACCGAGCAACGCCGCGUGGAGGAUGACGGCCUUCGGGUUGUAAACUCCUUUUGCGGGGGACGACAUCGACUGUACCCCGCGAAUAAGGCUCGGCUAACUCUGUGCCAGCCGCCGCGGUAAUAC